UUUCCGUAGGUGAACCUGCGGAAGGAUCAUUAUUGUAUAACCGAGGUGCGAGGGCUGUCGCUGACCCGAAAGGUCGUGCACGCCCGAGUGCCCUCACACACAUCCAUCUCACCCCUAUGUGCACCACCGCGUGGGUCCCCCUUUGGCUUGUUCGGAGGGGGGCUUACGUUUUCACACAAACUUUGUAUGCAGUGUAGAAUGUAUUUUUUGUUUUUGCGAUCACGCAAUCAAUACAACUUUCAACAACGGAUCUCUUGGCUCUCGCAUCGAUGAAGAACGCAGU
rnacentral:misc_RNA from 1 species